rnacentral:pre_miRNA from 1 species
CUUGUACUCCCUCUGUUCCGAAUUACUUGUCGCGGGUAUGGAUGUAUCUAUAGAUACAUCCAUUAUUGCGACGAGUAAUUUGGAACGGAGGGAGUAGGUG